UGUUUCAACUGAUUCAACGAUUGAGUUUUUUUCUUAAAAAAUAAAUUGUUAAAAGACCCUGCUCAGUUAAAUUUCUUCACUAGGACACUCAGCUUUAACAUCUUCUCUUAUUAGGAUCAAGACUCAAGAGGCCGGAAUAAUAAUUUUCAUGUUAUACAAGAUGAAUAGUGCAUAGAAGUUCAGAUAGAUGUGAAACCUAUAAGGAUAAAUAUUUGGUUAGGACAAUCAAGUACCUGUCCGACUCCAGAUAAGGACAAAAUAAUCUUGCUUGUAGAUAACUACAAGGUUAGAGCAUCUAAUCUUUUUUAGGAGGCAAAUUAUCUAGAUGAUAAUUGACACACGCAGGCUCAAGGUCGAAGAUCCAACAAAACUUGUAUAAAUAGAGUAUAAUCUUGGCGUAAAAACUAUAGUUUAUUUACACACAUUUAUUAUCUUAUAUACGACCAGGAACCCCUUGUUGAAAGCAGAAGAUAGAGUUCAGCGACUAUUGGGCAGGAACAUAUUGCUAUCUAACUUUCCUAGUUUUCUUUCCCUCUGAAUUCUAAAUUGCUCUUGCGGUUGGUACAAUAAUAUCCUCACAAAUUGCUUUAACGAUAAUGCUGUGCUUCACCUAUCAGUGUCCUAUAGGCACACAUAUUUACCAUAUGAUGUUGCAAACAUAGUAUUUAUUUAAUGCGUUGAGCUUUAUAGCAAAUCAAAUUUCAACCGUCCGGGAUAGUGUGGUUAGUCAGUGUUAGCAAUGAAAUGAAACACUUUGUCAGCUACUAUGCUACAACGUCUCACUUUUUAGUACGCUUAUUUGAUUUGUUAGUUGAUUAGUGCUUUCAGCCUCAGCUUCCAUUCAUUAUAUGCUUCAUUGACUGUAUAAAGUACACCACUUUGAUUUUUGCUUCCUUUUUCUUAAUUUCUUUUUUUUCCUUGGUGUCUAGUUAGAAAUCAAGAGCCGGAAUAUGGAGACAUUAAUUAUUCA